AUACAGAGGGUGCAAACGUUGUUCGGAAUCACUGGGCUUAAAGCGCGCGUAGGCGGCGACAUCAGUGUCUUGUGAAAGCCCCCGGCUCAACCGGGGAACUGCAGGGCAUACUGUGUUGCUAGAGUACGAGAGGGGAGAGGAGAACUCCUGGUGGAGCGGUGGAAUGCGUAGAUAUCAGGAGGAAUGCCAAAGGUGAAGACACCUCUCUGGCUCGUAACUGACGCUAAGGCGCGAAAGCUAGGGUAGCGAACGGGAUUAGAAACCCUGGUAGUCC
rnacentral:rRNA from 1 species